rnacentral:antisense_RNA from 1 species
UGCUUGUACCUAGAAGGGAGAUGAGGAAACACACAUGUAGCUGAGCAGACUUAAACCAGUACACCGCUGAAGACAACUCCCAAGAGAGAAAAAGGAUACAAAGAGUCCAGAAACAAUGUACUCUCCUAGCAUCAUAAGCUGAAGUCUGAAGCUCCACUGACCUGUAGAGAAGCUCCUGAGCAACAAUAUCUCCAUAGUCAUGAGAAAGAAGGUUGAUCCUGCGGUUCUGGAGCCCCAGAUGCCGCAAAAGCGCUUCCACGAUGCUGGCCUGCUCAAAUAUGGAAUAGUGAUGUGGUCUCUGAGGAAAGGAAAGCCCACAUACACAGGAUGAAGUCAUGAGGACAGCUCUCUCUGCCAGCCUGACCCUCACAGUCUGCGUCUGCCCCCACACCCCAUCACCAGCCCCAGAUAGGUGCUGCUUACCGGUUUGUCACUGAAGCCAAAGCCUAAGAAAUCAAGGGCAAUCACCCGAUGAAACCUCAAGGUCAGACCUUCCCAAAUCUACAAGAAAGAAAGGAUGAUUUGGGCUUUCUGCUCCUGCCCCUCCCUUUCACCAGACCUACAGUAGCACAGGAGCUUCAGCCCUAUCUUGGCUUAACAGACUUCCAUAAAGAGAAAAUGCCAUGAAACUACCACAGGUCCCACAGAUGAUCCUCUUGGAAAAUGCUUUAUUCCUGGUAAUUAAUCCCUGUUGAGGGAGGGUAACUUGGCAGUGAUCCCUUCCAGAGUGCCAAGGAGUUGUUUAUUCCCUUCAGUAAAUAAGGAACAGUUCAACAUUUAAUGUUUUUUUAAAAGCAAUUCAAAUGUGCAAGAGCCUUCUGGUGCUGACAACAAAAUCCUUGAGGUUUUUUUAAUUUUUAUUAAAAAAAAAUUUCUUUUUGAGACACACUCUCGCUCUGUCACCUAGGCUGAAGUGCAGUGGUGCAAUCUCAGCUCACUGCAACCUCUGCCUCCCGGGUUCAAGCGAUUCUCCUGCCUCAGCCUCCCAGGUAGCUGGGAUUACAGGCUUGUGCCACCAUGCCUGGCUAAUUUUUAUACUUUUAGUAGAGAUGGGGUUUUGCCAUGUUGCCCUGGCUGGUCUCAAACUCCUGACCUCAGGUCAUCCUCCCACCUCAGCCUCCCAAAGUGCUAGGAUUUGAGCCCCCACGCCUGGCCGAGAUUUUUUAAGACAUAGUAGGACGUAGAAGUCUGACUUCAUUACCUUGUACCAGUCGUAGCUGGAUGUUGGAAAACCGUGUAAAAGCACAACUAUCUCUGGACUUCCAACCACACCCACAGAGUCUAGGAAGAAGGAAAGUACAAUCAAUUAUGCCAAAUCCCUAUAAAAAUAACCUCGAAGAUGUUAAAAUCUAAGUAAUCUGAUACAAAGAACAAGAAACUGUGACCAAAUUGACAUUAAAAUGACACAAUUAUUUUUAAAAUGUAAGCUUAACUGCGUUAGGUGAGAACAGGCCUUUUCUCCUUUCAAUCUGUAUAUUAAAACAUUGUAAAAAUCAUGCUAUGUGAAAAUACUUGAAGGCACCUUGUUUACUUUCACCUAAGUGUUUUUAAACAGCAUCUCCCCAUUUCUCCUUUUGUUCUGUAAUAUGCAAAUUUUUUCACAGUGAAAAGUAAAUUUUCAGUUAAAAGCAUAUGAUCACAACACAUAAACUACAAAUUCUUUGUACUUUAUCAUGAAUGGCCUCACAGAAAUUCUCUAAGAUACAGCAACUAUUCCCAAGGAACACCUUUAGCUUAUGCUGUUUGCUCAGCACUUUUUAUUCAGCAGGAGACCCAAUCUAACAUCAAAAACAUAAUAAAACUAUUACAAAAUCCUGUCAACUAUAAAAAGGGCUUAAUCAACAUAAACAUGAACUUUUUUAAUGCAUAUGACAAUACGGAAGCAUUCAGCAUCAUCUAAAUUAGGUAAACAUUUAGACAAUAUUAACCUUGCUAAUAGUAUUGGAUUAGAACAGGUAUAUUCAUAUACUGCCAGUGACAUGAAAAUUUGGUAAUAAGGUUUUCAAAAAUAAUUUAGAAGCAGUUAAAAAUUGUAUAUACUUUAGCCUAAGAGUUUUGUUCUUGAGAAUCUGUGCAAAUAAAAUCAUUCCAUUUAUACAAGUAGUAUAGUUUGAAAAUGUAAGGAAAAAAUAAACUGUAUGGACAUGAAGCUUUUACUUCAACAUUAGUUUUUUAAAACAGUAAAACUGGAAAUAACCCAAGCCAACAUAAUAAAAAUUGUAUACUUACUUAAUUGAAUAUAGCAAAUGAGAGGAGGUCAGGAGCAAUAAUGAAAAACGGUUUAUGACAAACAUUUUUCGUUAUUGCUCUUGACCCCCGCUCAAAACAAAUCAUUUCCAAUCUGUUUCUCAGUUUCUUCACCUAUAAAAUGAGGUUAAUGGCACCUAUCUCCAAAUGCUGUUGUAAAGAUUAAACAAUGAAGGCUGAAAACAUAACUCAGUGCCUGGCAUAUGGUAAUUACUUGAUAAGUAGUGGUCAUAAUAAUAAUCAUCACUAGCAAAUUAAUUUAUAUAAUGGUAUUAAGACUUAAAUCACAGUUACACUACAAAUAAUCUACAGAAAAAAUGAAAUCAGGGAUGGUAAGGAGAGAGAACCAAUGGUGGUUAUAUCUAUUAAUAUUUUAUAUAUUACCUGACACUAAGGUUGCUC